AGUGAACGCUGGCGGCAGGCCUAAUACAUGCAAGUCGAACGGCAGCACAGCAGAGCUUGCUCUGUGGGUGGCGAGUGGCGGACGGGUGAGGAAUACAUGGGAAUCUGCCCAGUCGUGGGGGGAUAACGUAUGGAAACGUACGCUAAUACCGCAUGCGCCCUACGGGGGAAAGCCGGGGACCGAAAGGCCUGGCGCGAUUGGAUGAGCCCAUGUUCGAUUAGCUAGUUGGCGGGGUAAAGGCCCACCAAGGCGACGAUCGAUAGCUGGUCUGAGAGGAUGAUCAGCCACACUGGAACUGAGACACGGUCCAGACUCCUACGGGAGGCAGCAGUAGGGAAUAUUGGACAAUGGGGGCAACCCUGAUCCAGCCAUGCCGCGUGAGUGAAGAAGG
rnacentral:rRNA from 1 species